rnacentral:rRNA from 1 species
UCAAUCUCGUGCGGCUAUAUAUACCGCCGGUCCCUCUAAGAAGAUUUUCAUUGUACGCCGGUAGUGAAGACCGCGAAACGCACGACGCCCGACGCGCGAACGCCGGUGUACGCGCGCACGCGGCACCUCGUGAUACCGGUUGCACGUCUAUUUAAUAGGCUAGAGUUACGUUCGUUAC